rnacentral:lncRNA from 1 species
CUCUGCCUGUGACUGAAGCAGGAUACAGGUAUCUGGUUAAUGGGAAACUUACACAUGAUUUCUUGUAGCAGGACAUGGUUACAAAUACAGAAGCUUAUCAGGGUUAAUUGCUGAAGGUGUAUGCUUUUUGUGACAGUUAAGCAUGAUUUGAUUACAGGGCAAUAUUCUCUGUCCCCUGUUCUGUUGUUCAUGUCCGUGAAGGUAAAAUCGCUUAGGAUGCGAUGAUGAUUUCCUUGGGAUAUCAGUGCACGGGAAACUUUGAUGUGAACGACUGUUUGAGAACUUUAAUUUGGCUUUGGUAAAGGAGGCAACUUAGGAAGAAAAACUGGGACAAAGCUGAACCCCCCUCUCCAUGAGAAACAUGAUGCAUGCUUCUUUUUUUUGUUUUUGGUUACACCGGCUGCUCCAACAGAAUCAAGAGGCAACAAAUGACAAAGCAAAUGAGGGGAGAUCCUCAGGUGUGUCCAGAGAAUCUCGCCAGAAUGCUGUGCAGCA